GACGAACGCUGGCGGCGCGCUUAACACAUGCAAGUCGAACGGAAAGGCCUGCUUUCCCUUGUGGAUUGCGGGUACUCGAGUGGCGAACGGGUGAGUAACACGUGAGUGAUCUGCCCCCAACUUGGGUAUAAGCCCGGGAAACUGGGUCUAAUUCCCGAUAGGACUGCAGGGUGGUGCCUGUGGUGGAAAACGAUUUUCUAGUGGUUGGGGAUGGGCUCGCGGCCUAUCAGCUUGUUGGUGGGGUAAUGGCCUACCAAGGCGGCGACGGGUAGCCGGCCUGGGAGGGUGGACGGCCACAUUGGGACUGGGAUACGGCCCAGACUCCUACGGGAGGCAGCAGUGGGGAAUAUUGCACAAUGGGCGGAAGCCUGAUGCAGCGACGCCGCGUGGGGGAUGACGGCCUUCGGGUUGUAAACUCCUUUCGACCGCGAGGAAGCCACCUGGUUGGAAGGGUGGUGACGGUAGUGGUAGAAGAAGCACCGGCUAACUACGUG
rnacentral:rRNA from 1 species